GCCGAAGUGGUGGAAUUGGCAGACGCGCUAGAUUCAGGGUCUAGUGAGCUUCUCGCUCGUGCAGGUUCAAGUCCUGUCUUCGGCACCA
rnacentral:tRNA from 1 species